rnacentral:rRNA from 1 species
GGAGGAAAAGAAACCAACAGGGAUUGCCUUAGUAGCGGCGAGUGAAGCGGCAAGAGCUCAAAUUUGAAAUCUGGUACCUUCGGUGCCCGAGUUGUAAUUUGAAGAAAGCUGUCUUGGAGUUGGCCUUUGUCUAUGUUCCUUGGAACAGGACGUCACAGAGGGUGAGAAUCCCGUGCGAUGAGGUGUCCAAUUCUUUAUAAGACGUUUUCGAAGAGUCGAGUUGUUUGGGAAUGCAGCUCAAAGUGGGUGGUAAAUUCCAUCUAAAGCUAAAUAUUGGCGAGAGACCGAUAGCGAACAAGUACUGUGAAGGAAAGAUGAAAAGAACUUUGAAAAGAGAGUGAAAAAGUACGUGAAAUUGUUGAAAGGGAAGGGUAUUCAAUCAGACUUGGUAUUUAGUUAUCAUUACUCCUUGUGGGUGGUGCUCUAGCUUUUUACUGGGCCAGCAUCAGUUUUGGUGGCAAGAUAAUGGCAGUUGAAUGUAGCUCCUAGAGUGUUAUAGCUUCUGCUGAUAUUGCCUACUGAGACUGAGGUCUGCGGCUUGCCUAG